rnacentral:tRNA from 1 species
GGAGGGCUGCAGGAGCGGCCGAACUGGACCGCCUUGAAAGCGGUUGACUGGAAACAGUCCGUGGGUUCGAAUCCCACGCCCUCCG